GAUGAACGCUGGCGGCGUGCCUAAUACAUGCAAGUCGAGCGAACAGACGAGGAGCUUGCUCCUCUGACGUUAGCGGCGGACGGGUGAGUAACACGUGGAUAACCUACCUAUAAGACUGGGAUAACUUCGGGAAACCGGAGCUACUACCGGAUAACAUGUUGAACCGCAUGGUUCAACAGUGAAAGACGGUCUUGCUGUCACUUAUAGAUGGAUCCGCGCCGCAUUAGUUAGUUGGUAAGGUAACGGCUUACCAAGGCAACGAUGCUUAGCCGACCUGAGAGGGUGAUCGGCCACACUGGAACUGAGACACGGUCCAGACUCCUACGGGAGGAAGCAGUAGGGAAUCUUCCGCAAUGGGCGAAAGCCUGACGGAGCAACGCCGCGUGAGUGAUGAAGGUCUUCGGAUCGUAAAACUCUGUUAUUAGGGAAGAACAAAUGUGUAAGUAACUAUGCACGUCUUGACGGUACCUAAUCAGAAAGCCACGGCUAACUACGUG
rnacentral:rRNA from 1 species